ACGCGUAAAGAACUUGCCUUACAGACUGGGACAACAUUUGGAAACGAAUGCUAAUACCGGAUAUUAUGAUUGGGUCGCAUGAUCUGAUUAUGAAAGCUAUAUGCGCUGUGAGAGAGCUUUGCGUCCCAUUAGUUAGUUGGUGAGGUAACGGCUCACCAAGACGAUGAUGGGUAGCCGGCCUGAGAGGGUGAACGGCCACAAGGGGACUGAGACACGGCCCUUACUCCUACGGGAGGCAGCAGUGGGGAAUAUUGGACAAUGGACCAAAAGUCUGAUCCAGCAAUUCUGUGUGCACGAAGAAGUUUUUCGGAAUGUAAAGUGCUUUCAGUUGGGAAGAAGUCAGUGACGGUACCAACAGAAGAAGCGACGGCUAAAUACGUGCCAGCAGCCGCGGUAAUACGUAUGUCGCAAGCGUUAUCCGGAUUUAUUGGGCGUAAAGCGCGUCUAGGCGGCUUAGUAAGUCUGAUGUGAAAAUGCGGGGCUCAACCCCGUAUUGCGUUGGAAACUGCUAAACUAGAGUACUGGAGAGGUAGGCGGAACUACAAGUGUAGAGGUGAAAUU
rnacentral:rRNA from 1 species